UACGGAGGGUGCAAGCGUUAUCCGGAUUCACUGGGUUUAAAGGGUGCGUAGGCGGGCAGGUAAGUCCGUGGUGAAAUCUCUGAGCUUAACUCAGAAACUGCCAUGGAUACUAUUUGUCUUGAAUGUUGUGGAGGUAAGCGGAAUAUGUCAUGUAGCGGUGAAAUGCUUAGAUAUGACAUAGAACACCUAUUGCGAAGGCAGCUUACUACGCAGAUAUUGACGCUCAUGCACGAAAGCGUGGGGAUCAAACAGG
rnacentral:rRNA from 1 species